rnacentral:misc_RNA from 1 species
CAGUGGGAGAGACUCUUGUAGGGUAGCGCGCCUCUCAGCAACGAGAAGUACACACACAUACGCGCACACAAAAGGCUGCCAAAAAAUCCCGCUAACGGGCACCCCCUCCCCCUUCCCCUGCACAUCCAUAGAAGCACGUCCACGUCCACACCGGUGCGCUGGCGAUAUAUAUACAUAUAUAUAUAUAUUCAGAACCGUACCAAAGAGGUUCACCUCUUUUUCUUCUGCGUGCUGUACUGUUGUUGCUGUGCGCGUGCAUUCAUAGAUAACCGCCCCCCCUGUCGAGGAGCAGGAGAGGCGGCGUGUGCGUGCGUGCGUGUGGGCGUCUGGCCGCCUUGAGGCAUACGCAGGGAGAAACGGUGGGAUACAACAUCAGGGCUUCGGCCCUUUCGGUGAGCUCCGUGAAGUAGACGCUGUGUGCACGUGUACGCACAAAAAGGGGGGAUUGCGGUCUGCCAUAGACAUCCGUAUGCCCGCUGCAUUGCAGACGCCACCGCCGCUGGUAGAUCAGGACGGUGCCCCGCCCUUUAGUGCGCAGCGGGCAACGCUCGGUGCUGCCACUAGCGCCGCCACGGUCGCUCCCACCAGGAUCCCUGCUGACAGCAGCAACUUGGGUCGCCAACGCGCGGUGCCGUCUUCCUCUCUCUCAUCAUUCGCCACCGUGUCGUCUCCAGCACAUAUCCCUACGACUUCUGGCGCGGGGGCGCUUGACAGCCGACCGGAUACCCCGGCAGGCCUGGUGAGGGCGUCCGCGAUGGCGGCGGCGCCGCCGUCGACGACGUUGUCACGGUCCUCGUCCUUAGCUUCUUCAUCUGCGUCCUCGCAGCCCGCAGUUUUUCCAGGUAGCAGGCAGUUUGACUCAAGCACACAUGCCCGAGAAAGCCGAGUGGGUGCCACCGCUCUUGAGCCGCAACGCCAAUCGCCAUCGAUGGUGCCGGCAGCCACCGAGGAGGAUCCUGGAAGCCACUUUCCGUGUUCUGCCGCGGAUGACGCCAUCGCUCACUCGGUGCCGCUUCCUCUGCUGGUCGAACAGCAGCGCCACCGCAUUCGUGCUCUGGUGCAGGAGCGCGACGCCGCCGCCGCGGAGCUCAGUGAGCUGCACACCUUGUUUCAGCGUCUGCACGACGACUACGAGGAGACAACGCGCGAGGCGGAUGGAUUGCGGCUACAGCUGAGCAGCCUCCGCGCGCAGAAGGAGAUGCAAAGCGAUGAGCACCGGCUAUUGCGGUCGAGUCACGCGCGCCAGCAGGAGCGCAUUCAGCAGUUCGAGCUGGAGUGGGCCAACAACUCCAAGCAUCUCCGCGAGCAGCUCGACGCACUCGUCAGUGAGAGAGACGCCAUGCAGGCCCAGCGUGACGCCUGCAUGGCCGACAGCAACGACUUGCGCCGGCAGCUAAUUCAACUGCAAGCCGAGAUUCACCGCGUGGAGUCGAAGCAUCGAGAGGCGCUGCGAGAACAGGCUGACACACACGCGCAGCAGCUUCGCUCUGCCCUGCAAGAAAAGGAGGAGCAACUCCAGACGAGGGCGGCCGCAACGCGGCGGGAGGCACGGCUGGUUCAGCAGGAGCUGGACCAACUCGGCGCCGGCCACACCGCCGCGCACGAGGAGCGCGAGUCCAUGCGGUGGCGCCUCUCGGAGCUCGAGACGGUGGUGACCAAGAAGGAGCAGCUCCGCGCCGAGCUGGAAAGAAUGGUAACUAUGCUCCGCUCGCGGCUGAAUGAUCAAGAGGAGGCGGCGCGCCAAGAUGCGCAGCGCUACACGCAGCGUGCCCAGGACCUGGAGCUGCUGUACCGCGGUCAGGUCGCGCAGGAGCAGCGCCGUGCUCAGGCUCUCCAAGACGAUCUGGCCGCUGCCCGCAAGGCGACGCAAGAGGCCAUGCGACAGCAGGAGGCCCUUCAGCAGUCUCACAGCGAGCAGAUUAAGGACUUUGCAGCGCGCGCUGCAAAACUCGAGGACGACCUUCGCCAACAGCUCCGCGCCCUCCGCAGGGAGCUGGAGGAGGCACAGGCACAUGCGCUUGAGCACGAAGCUGCCGCCCGCCGCAGCCAGCGCGAUGCAGAGACGCUGCGGGCCACGUGCUCUAGCGAGCAAGAGGCACUUGAGCGGCUGCAGCAGGCUCACACGGCGCAAGCCCAGCAGUUGUCGCGCGCGGAGGGGAGCGCGACUGUUCUGCAGACGCGCCUGCGCGAAAAGGAGAGGGAGGCGGAGCUACUGCGGUGCGCCAUGGAACAGGCCACAUGGACGCGGGAGAUGCGGCAGGCAGCGCACCACACGUUGGCGUCCCUUCUUGGGGUGCCGCGGGUGUCCGUGCGAGGUGGCCGACGCCGGGUGAAGGAGGGAGAGGAGAUGGAGGGCUGGUCUCCGGCGCUGCAGCUCGAGUGGGCGGCGGAGGCGCAGGGCGCUGCCCCCUCCCCGUCGCCCCGCAAAGCGCAGCAGAGGAGGGAUUCCGCACCCACUGGCGCUGGCGACACCGCUUAUGUUGUACCGGAGGGCGGCGAGUCCACCCCAUCCUCCCGCGAGGUGGAGGGGGUUGUGCCCUCGCCCUUCAAGGGCGCUGCCCGUGCGAAGCGUGCGCAGCGUCACCCAGCGAUCGCUUCCGACAGUCCUCAGCGCCCACCAGCUACGCCAACGAAGGCAGCAGCUGGACAGCACGUCGAGGCCAUCGAACACACUGUGCCACGAGAUACAGGUCAAUCUGAUGGUAAGGGGCACGCGGGAUCAUCCACUGAAGCCAGCCAUCUACUGCAGCCACCGCUCUUGUUCCGCGCCGCGUCUCCACUGACUGCGGCUCCGCCACUACAUCCCGGAACGCCGCGGACCGCUGGCAGUAGCUCUCCCUGUCCGGCUCAGGGUUCGGCUGGCUACGCUGCAGCAGCAAACUCUACCACCGCCGCGCUCCGCGGCGGUGGUGCCGGCGCGUCGCCAUUUCCAUCGCCUCUGCGAGCGCUCUCCUUUGUCCCGGCUCAAACCACCGCAGGCUGGGCGAAUCCUCUGCGCACCGCCACCGGCGUGGCAAGAUCACAGCCGCUUUCCACCCCCCUUCUCUCCUGCCAGCAGGUGGGCCACAUCUACAACAUCCCUGAAGAGGAAGAGCAGCAGCACCAGCCGCAGGCGGCGGUGACCGAAGGUCAUACCAGUGGAGCCGCGUACGCUGCAGAGCCUGCACGUGGAUACUCACGCACACAAAGGCCACAGUCGGCGACGCCCCUGUCAAGGAAGGCAGGCGAGGUUUUCUUCGAUGAUGUCGUGGGCGCACCGCGUGCGCGAGGGUUUCCAGCGAGGGUGCUGAUCAGGGGCACAGAUGCCGGCGCUGCUGUACCUGGAAGCCAUGAGCGGCAGACAACAUCAGCACAGCUGGUGACUGCAUCCACGGCACAAGUCGGCACCUCUAACACGCACCUCACCCCCUCUACUUACCGCGGAAGUCUUGCCUCGAGCGAUAGGGUGAGAGGGGCUGACGGUGCGCGCGAUGCGCAGCCGUCUUUCUCGCUCGGGGACAGCCUCUCCUAUGACCACGGCGCAUCUGCGCCAGGCGUCCGCGCGGCGGAGCUCAUCGCGCAGCUGUCACACCCCUCGUCGGCGGCCUCCGACAAAACGCCUGCGAUGCAGCGCGGAGUGUCGAACACCAGCAGCCACCGCAACGUGCUUAACGGCGGAGAUUCGGCGCUUCAGCAGUACCUUCGCGACACCGUGCAGCAAGUACUCGCUGAUCACGGUCGCGGCGGGACACCCCAGCGUGGGCCGCUCCAUGCAUGGCGGCAGCGGCCAGACGGCGGUUCCGCAAUUCUUGCAGCUUCUGGGUACCACGGAGAUGGCGUCAACAGUGCCGGAGAAGCGGAUGAGGACGAUUUCGGCUCUGCAUCUCUCCUCCGCUCGUCUGUCGCAGUGCCGCUUGUGCGACCGGCGCCCCAGCCAGCGUCUACAGGGGGCUUCGCGAACGGCGGAGGGGCGACUCGCAUGAUUGGUCCCGGCGGCAGCAGCCAAGGCGACGCUGGCGGCGCUGUCGCUGUGACUCGGAAUGGCAGUUCGGCAGCCGCAACUCCGCACAAGACGGCCGCAGCAGUAUCAGCAGCAGGAGAAACCGUUCAAGCCAAUCGCAGAGAGAGCGGCAUUUUUCAGACUCUUGAACAGCUUGCCGGCCGACAGCAGCAGCUCCUGCAAUCGCUGGGCCACCUGCCGCACGCGGUGAUGUUCCCGACAGCGCGCAACGCCGAUGUCCCAUCCUCGCUACCAUGGCAAGCGACAGCGGCAGACCCCUCCCUCAGCGAGGGCUUGCGGAGCAGCGCCAGCAUCAUCGUGCCCACGUCUCUCUCCCUGCAGGAGCAUAGGUGCUCCCUGCAGCACCAGGGCCAGCGCGAACCCGACGAUAGCCAGGGUGUAGCACGGUCGUCUGUGGGCGUGGUCGCGGCUGGCGGAGCACCGGCCGAUGCCGCCGGAUCGGCGUUGACGGUCAGUGCACCUUUGCCCAAUACCGAUUCCGCGGGCUUUGGGAAAAACAUUACUGCACAGGGCCAUCCUGCAGCUGCGGCUCGCUAUGCGAAGGGCAGCGAUGCCGGCACCGAUGUCGAGCUCGACCCUCGGCAGCUCUCCUACUCUACCACGGUCGCCACGACUCAGCUCACAGAUGU